rnacentral:tRNA from 1 species
GAUACUAAGAUGUUGCCACACGCAUCCGUGGACA